UCAGGACGAACGCUGGCGGCGUGCUUAACACAUGCAAGUCGAACGGUGACGCACCUUCGGGUGCUGAUCAGUGGCGAACGGGUGAGUAACACGUGGGCAACCUGCCCCUGACUCUGGGAUAACCCCUCGAAAGAGGAGCUAAUACCGGAUACCACCUCCCGCGGCAUCUCGGGAGGUCGAAAGUUUUUCGGUCAGGGAUGGGCCCGCGGCCUAUCAGCUAGUUGGUGGGGUGACGGCCUACCAAGGCGACGACGGGUAGCCGGCCUGAGAGGGCGACCGGCCACACUGGGACUGAGACACGGCCCAGACUCCUACGGGAGGCAGCAGUGGGGAAUAUUGCGCAAUGGGCGAAAGCCUGACGCAGCAACGCCGCGUGAGGGAUGACGGCCUUCGGGUUGUAAACCUCUUUCAGCGGGGACGAAGCGAAAGUGACUGUACCCGCAGAAGAAGCGCCGGCUAACUACGUGCCAGCAGCCGCGGUAAUACGUAGGGCGCAAGCGUUGUCCGGAUUUAUUGGGCGUAAAGAGCUCGUAGGCGGUCUGUCGCGUCGGAUGUGAAAACCCGGAACUCAACUCCGGGCCUGCAUUCGAUACGGGCAGACUUGAGUACUGCAGGGGAGACUGGAAUUCCUGGUGUAGCGGUGGAAUGCGCAGAUAUCAGGAGGAACACCGGUGGCGAAGGCGGGUCUCUGGGCAGAAACUGACGCUGAGGAGCGAAAGCGUGGGGAGCGAACAGGAUUAGAUACCCUGGUAGUCCACGCCGUAAACGGUGGGCACUAGGUGUGGGGACCAUUCCACGGUCUCUGCGCCGCAGCUAACGCAUUAAGUGCCCCGCCUGGGGAGUACGGCCGCAAGGCUAAAACUCAAAUGAAUUGACGG
rnacentral:rRNA from 1 species